rnacentral:rRNA from 1 species
CGCUGGCGGCAGGCCUAACACAUGCAAGUCGAACGGUAACAGGAAGAAGCUUGCUUCUUUGCUGACGAGUGGCGGACGGGUGAGUAAUGUCUGGGAAACUGCCUGAUGGAGGGGGAUAACUACUGGAAACGGUAGCUAAUACCGCAUAACGUCGCAAGACCAAAGAGGGGGACCUUCGGGCCUCUUGCCAUCGGAUGUGCCCAGAUGGGAUUAGCUAGUAGGUGGGGUAACGGCUCACCUAGGCGACGAUCCCUAGCUGGUCUGAGAGGAUGACCAGCCACACUGGAACUGAGACACGGUCCAGACUCCUACGGGAGGCAGCAGUGGGGAAUAUCGCACAAUGGGCGCAAGCCUGAUGCAGCCAUGCCGCGUGUAUGAAGAAGGCCUUCGGGUUGUAAAGUACUUUCAGCGGGGAGGAAGGGAGUAAAGUUAAUACCUUUGCUCAUUGACGUUACCCGCAGAAGAAGCACCGGCUAACUCCGUGCCAGCAGCCGCGGUAAUACGGAGGGUGCAAGCGUUAAUCGGAAUUACUGGGCGUAAAGCGCACGCAGGCGGUUUGUUAAGUCAGAUGUGAAAUCCCCGGGCUCAACCUGGGAACUGCAUCUGAUACUGGCAAGCUUGAGUCUCGUAGAGGGGGGUAGAAUUCCAGGUGUAGCGGUGAAAUGCGUAGAGAUCUGGAGGAAUACCGGUGGCGAAGGCG